rnacentral:rRNA from 1 species
GUGAGGAAUUUUCCGCAAUGGGCGAAAGCCUGACGGAGCAAUGCCGCGUGAAGGAUGAAGGCCUAUGGGUUGUAAACUUCUUUUCUCAGAAAAGAAUUAUGACGGUAUCUGAGGAAUAAGCAUCGGCUAACUCUGUGCCAGCAGCCGCGGUAAGACAGAGGAUGCAAGCGUUAUCCGGAAUGAUUGGGCGUAAAGCGUCUGUAGGUUGUUUAAAAAGUAUUCUGUCAAAGAUUAGGGCUUAACCCUAGAUAGGCAGAAUAAACUUUUAAGCUAGAGGUUGGUAGAGGCAGAGGGAAUUCCCGGUGGAGCGGUGAAAUGCGUAGAUAUCGGGAGGAACACCAAAGGCGAAGGCACUCUGCUGGGCCAAUACUAACACUGAGAGACGAAAGCGAGGGGAGCAAAUGGGAUUAGAUACCCCAGUAGUCC